rnacentral:rRNA from 1 species
UACAGAGGGUGCUAGCGUUGUUCGGAAUCAUUGGGCGUAAAGGGCGUGUAGGCGGUUUGUUAAGUCAUGUGUGAAAUCCCCCGGCUCAACCGGGGAACGGCGCGGGAAACUAGCAGGCUUGAGUUCGGGAGAGGGAAGCGGAAUUCCGGGUGUAGCGGUGAAAUGCGCAGAUAUCCGGAGGAACACCGGUGGCGAAGGCGGUCUGCUGGGCCGUUGCUGACGCUGAGGCGCGACAGCGUGGGGAGCAAACAGG